CCUACGGGGUGCAGCAGUGAGGAAUAUUGGUCAAUGGGCGCGAGCCUGAACCAGCCAAGUAGCGUGAAGGAUGACUGCCCUACGGGUUGUAAGCUUCUUUUAUAAAGGAAUAAAGUGAGGCACGUGUGCCUUUUUGUAUGUACUUUAUCAAUAAGGCACGGCUAAUUCCUUGCCAGCAGCCGCGGUAAUACAGAGGAUCUGAGCGUUAUCCGGAUUUAUUGGGUUUAAAGGGAGCGUAGAUGGGUUGUUAAGUCAGUUGUGAAAGUUUGCGGCUCAACCGUAAAAUUGCAAUUGAUACUGGCCGUCUUGAGUACAGUUGAGGUAGGCGGAAUUCGUGGUGUAGCGGUGAAAUGCUUAGAUAUCACGAAGAACUCCGAUUGCGAAGGCAGCUUACUAAACUGCAACUGACAUUGAUGCUCGAAAGUGUGGGUAUCAAACAGGAUUAGAUACCCCUGUAGUC
rnacentral:rRNA from 1 species